GACGAACGCUGGCGGCGUGCUUAACACAUGCAAGUCGAGCGGAAAGGCCCUGCUUUUGUGGGGUGCUCGAGUGGCGAACGGGUGAGUAACACGUGAGUAACCUGCCCUUGACUUUGGGAUAACUUCAGGAAACUGGGGCUAAUACCGGAUAGGAGCUCCUGCUGCAUGGUGGGGGUUGGAAAGUUUCGGCGGUUGGGGAUGGACUCGCGGCUUAUCAGCUUGUUGGUGGGGUAGUGGCUUACCAAGGCUUUGACGGGUAGCCGGCCUGAGAGGGUGAUCGGCCACAUUGGGACUGAGAUACGGCCCAGACUCCUACGGGAGGCAGCAGUGGGGAAUAUUGCGCAAUGGGCGGAAGCCUGAUGCAGCAACGCCGCGUGCGGGAUGACGGCCUUCGGGUUGUAAACCGCUUUCGCCUGUGACGAAGCGUGAGUGACGGUAAUGGGUAAAGAAGCACCGGCUAACUACGUG
rnacentral:rRNA from 1 species